rnacentral:rRNA from 1 species
UGGGGAAUAUUGGACAAUGGGCGAAAGCCUGAUCCAGCCAUGCCGCGUGUGUGAAGAAGGUCUUCGGAUUGUAAAGCACUUUAAGUUGGGAGGAAGGGCAGUAAGCGACUACCUUGCUGUUUUGACGUUACCGACAGAAUAAGCACCGGCUAACUCUGUGCCAGCAGCCGCGGUAAUACAGAGGGUGCAAGCGUUAAUCGGAAUUACUGGGCGUAAAGCGCGCGUAGGUGGUUCGUUAAGUUGAAUGUGAAAGCCCCGGGCUCAACCUGGGAACUGCAUCCAAAACUGGCGAGCUAGAGUAGGGCAGAGGGUGGUGGAAUUUCCUGUGUAGCGGUGAAAUGCGUUGAUAUAGGAAGGAACACCAGUGGCGAAGGCGACCACCUGGGCUCAUACUGACACUGAGGUGCGAAAGCGUGGGGAGCAAACAGG